rnacentral:SRP_RNA from 1 species
GCCAGGCAUGGUGGCAUGGUCCUGUAGUCUCAGCUACUUGUGAGGCUGAGGCUGGAGGAUUGCUUGAGUACAGGAGUUCCAGGCUGUAGUGCACUAUGCCAACUGGGAGUCUGCACUAAGUUCAGCAUUAGUAUGGUGACCUCCUGUGGUCAGGUGACUACCAGGUUGCCUAAUGAGGGGUGAAUUGGCCCAGAUCAGAAUUGGAGUAGGUCAAAACUCCUGUGUUGAUCAUUGCGUGGAAUUACCCCUGUGAAUGGUCACUGAAUUCCAGUCUGGGCAUAGGAAGGCAUCGUCUGU